rnacentral:rRNA from 1 species
GAUGAACGCUAGCGGCAGGCCUAAUACAUGCAAGUCGAACGGCAAGAUUUGGUAGCAAUACUAAAUCCUAGAGUGGCGCACGGGUGAGUAACGCGUACAUGACAUACCUAUAAGCGAGGGGUAGCAUUGGGAAACUGGUAGUAACCCCUCAUGUGAUUAUUUGUAAUAAAGGUAAAUAAUUAAAACUACGGUGCUUAUAGAUUGGUGUGCGUCUGAUUAGCUAGUUGGCGAGGUAACGGCUCACCAAGGCGACGAUCAGUAGGGGGCGUGAGAGCGUGAACCCCCACACGGGUACUGAGACACGGACCCGACUCCUACGGGAGGCAGCAGUAAGGAAUAUUGGUCAAUGGAGGGAACUCUGAACCAGCCAUGCCGCGUGCAGGAUGAAAGCCCUCUGGGUUGUAAACUGCUUUUAACAGGGAAGAAAUGCUAUACGUGAUAUAGUACUGACGGUACCUGAGGAAUAAGCACCGGCUAACUCCGUGCCAGCAGCCGCGGUAAU